UACGAAGGGGGCUAGCGUUGUUCGGAUUUACUGGGCGUAAAGCGCACGUAGGCGGAUCUUUAAGUCAGAGGUGAAAUCCCAAGGCUCAACCUUGGAACUGCCUUUGAUACUGGGGAUCUUGAGUCCGGGAGAGGUGAGUGGAACUGCGAGUGUAGAGGUGAAAUUCGUAGAUAUUCGCAAGAACACCAGUGGCGAAGGCGGCUCACUGGCCCGGGUACUGACGCUGAGGUGACGAAAGGCGUGGGGAGCAAACAGG
rnacentral:rRNA from 1 species